rnacentral:snRNA from 20 species
AUACUUACCUUGAUUGGGCGAUCUUGAGAUCAAGAACACAGAUCGCCAGAGCGGGAAGCCUGCAUUGCACAUCGUGGAGCUGACCGUCCUCAAUUGGCCUUCGGGCCCGUUGCAGUCGGAAUUUUUGAUGCCGAAACAAAACUACUUUGUUUAC